GGGAGCGCAGUUCGGUGCGGGGUCUCUGCACCCCACACAGCCUCGCCACCGGAAACCGCAGUUUCCUUCAGAGCCCCUCCGUACAGCCCCCAGCGGCUCCCCACUCGGGCACCCCCACUCCCCUGGCCCUGGAACUACUUCUGUAAAAACUCUGAGCCGCCCGCGUCUAGGCAGAGGAGGGCAGGAUGGGGGGAGGCGAGGCAAAAUCGAUACGCCAGGUCCUUAACCUGUAAUUGCACCUUCUAGGGCUGAGCAGAAAGGGACCCUCUGCCCACAUCCCGCCCGUGCGCCCGCCGGCCGGGGAGAGCUGCCGCCGCCGCCGCCCAGCUCAGAGGGAUCCCGCCGGACCUGCCCCUUCCACUGCGGCUCACUCUGCCCUCCCUGGCGCCAGUCCUGGAUCGCCGGCUUCCUAUUUACACCGGACUGGGCUCCACUCGACUCACUUUAUCAUCCCAUUCCAGGCUGGCGACUUCGCUGCUGAGCUGAAACUGCUAAUUUCUGUGACCAGCUUUUUUCUUAGCUGUGAUCUGGAUGAAUGAGUAGCUGUCUCACAGAGAUGACAAAAAUAAACUCUAAUCCCCCCCAAAA